GGAAGGACGAGGAAAUACCGGCUGCAGCCGCCGUUUCCCGCCGGCCGUGAGCAGCUCGGCGGUUGUCUGGGGCCUGCAGAGGUUGUUCCGCUGUGUCCUGUCAGCCCCGUGAGCCAAGGCUGACGGAGCAAGGGCAGUCUGCGAGAGCCGGGGCGUUAGUUCAAGGGCGAGGGGGCUGCAAAAGUCAUGGGCUUCUGCCCGGGCCGGUAGGUCCUGCGCUUAGGUAUUUGUGGUUUUGCCGGAGCUCUCCGGGUAGGCGCAGUCUUUGCGCACCGCCUCUGGAGGCGAGGAAGUGCCUUUUGCUCCUGAGGCCAGCAGAGGAGAAACAGCGGUCUGAGGUGUUAGAAGGAAAGACUACUUCUAGUGACAAGAGGACUUGAUUAGACUAACGCUGGUCUCUUUUAAGGCAUUAGUUCUUGGCUAGUACGUAAAACACUGUAUGAACAGUGUGUAUAGCAUCUAUUGGAAUCAUUCAUUGUAUCACAGCAAAAUAUUUUUAUCUACUUUUUCUAUUAAAUGCCUUUAAAACCA